rnacentral:hammerhead_ribozyme from 1 species
AUCCAUCUGACGAGUUUCCAAACAGGACGAAACGCGUGUCCUGGAU